rnacentral:tRNA from 1 species
GGUGGAUUACCGCAGUAGCCGACCGGACCCGACCGUACAUCGGGCGCUGUAUGCCGCGCAGGUGCGAAUCCUGCAUCCACCA